GCCGGAGUAGCUCAGUUGGUAGAGCACCUGAUUUGUAAUCAGGUGGCCAGGGGUUCGAGUCCCCUCUCCGGCU
rnacentral:tRNA from 1 species